rnacentral:rRNA from 1 species
GGAAUCUUCCACAAUGGACGCAAGUCUGAUGGAGCAACGCCGCGUGAGUGAAGAAGGGUUUCGGCUCGUAAAACUCUGUUGUUAAAGAAGAACAUAUCUGAGAGUAACUGUUCAGGUAUUGACGGUAUUUAACCAGAAAGUCACGGCUAACUACGUGCCAG